rnacentral:rRNA from 1 species
UACGUAGGGGGCAAGCGUUGUCCGGAAUCAUUGGGCGUAAAGAGCGUGUAGGCGGCUUGGCAAGUCUGACGUGAAAUCUUGCGGCUUAACCGCAAGCUGUUGUUGGAAACUGCCUCGCUAGAGUCCGGAAGAGGAGAGCGGAAUUCCUGGUGUAGCGGUGGAAUGCGCAGAUAUCAGGAAGAACACCCGUGGCGAAGGCGGCUCUCUGGGACGGUACUGACGCUGAGACGCGAAAGCGUGGGGAGCGAACAGG